UGGUUGAUAAUGUCCUAAAAAUGAAUUUGAAUAUAAUAAUAUGUAAAAUAACAAAAUCAGGAUAAAUUCGUUACACAGUGUUCAAUUGUCCCAAUACAGAAUUUAUCUGGUCAAUAAAAUUCAUAUCGGGUUUGGCUUCGCCUCACCCGAUAUGAAUUUUAUUGACCCGAUAAAUUCUCGUAUUAGGACAAUUGCACACUGUGUAACUAAUAGUGUAGUCAUUGAUUUUAAGAUAUAAGCAAUCAAUUUACCAAGAAGAUAUUUUGCUUUAAAAUGUAUUUUACAAUGAUUAUUAUAUGUUUAAAAAAAACAGGGAUACAAACUGUUGCUCAUAAAUAUUUUGACCAAAAUUAUGUUUUCAUUUUUAGGAUGUCAUAGUGACAUCACAAGUAACCUUUCAAUAUCCAGACCUGUUCAUUUAUCAAUAAAAUUGACUAAAUUUUGAAAGGCUUGAAUAAGUUUACUAUUUUUGCAAUAUUUUAGGGGUCAAUAAAGGCUAUUAUCAUACCUCCCCUUUUGAUAUCAUCUGUACAAAUAUUCUGUAAUGCAAAUUUUGUUUCAUAAAAUAUAAGCAAGAUUUAUUUAUUUGUUAUGAACAAAAUGUCACAAAUUAAAAUUUGAAAC
rnacentral:lncRNA from 1 species